AUCUUAAAGCAACAUCUCCCAAAUCUGUCAAGCGACCUCAUGAAGAAGGGAAAACAUUUCAUAUUGAUACGGAACCCUCUAGAUAUACUGCCAUCUUUUGAUAAAGUCGUUCCACCAUCCUUCAUGGAGCUUGGCAUAGGCGAACUUGUCUCAAUAUACAGUGAAUUAUGUGGACUUGGGAGCCCACCCCCUGUGAUAGAUGCAGAUGAUCUGCAACAGGAUCCUGAGGCCGUCCUAAGU